CGGGAAGUAGCCCCGCCAUCGGCGGGGCACCUGGUUUGGGACCAGGGGGUCGCAGGUUCGAUCCCGAAGCCUCGGGACUGUCUUCCCGA
rnacentral:tRNA from 1 species